rnacentral:misc_RNA from 1 species
ACGGACGUUCACGACUACGAAGUGAAGAUGAAGAACGUCUUCAAGUUCCUCGAGAAGGGCGACAAGGUGAAAGUCACCCUCCGCUUCCGCGGACGCGAGAUGGCACACCAGAAUCUCGGCCGCGAACUCCUGGAGCGCGUCGCGGACGACGUGAAGGAAGUCGGCAAGGUCGAGAACAUGCCGAAGAUGGAAGGCCGCCAGAUGAUCAUGAUGAUCGGUCCGGUGAAAUAAGCUUCAUCGCCGUUUCGAGCGAGACCGGGGCACCCUUGGCGGUGCCCUUUUUCGUGAGCCAGCCCAGGCCCGGGGCCUCUUGGUCA